ACUCAAAUGAAUUGACGGGGACCCGCACAAAUGGUGGAGCAUGUGGUUUAAUACGACGAUACGCGUGGAACCUCACCCAGGCUUGACAUGUACUGGACGAAUUAUAGAAAUAUAGUUCUUCCCUUUCGGGACUGGUACACAGGUGUUGCAUGGCUGUCGUCAGCUCGUGUCGUGAGAUGUUGGGUUAAGUCCCGCAACGAGCGCAACCCCCAUUCUUAGUUACCAACGGUUCGGCCGGGAACUCUAAGAAGACUGCCGCGGAUAACGUGGAGGAAGGUGGGGAUGACGUCAAGUCAGUACGGCCCUUACGCCUGGGGCUACACACGUGCUACAAUGGCUGGUACAAAGGGUCGCAAAACCGCGAGGUGGAGCUAAUCCCAAAAAACCAGCCCCAGUUCGGAUUGAAGGCUGCAACUCGCCUUCAUGAAGCCGGAAUCAUUAGUAACCCCGCAUAAGUCACGGCGGGGUGAAUACGUUCCCGGGUCUUGUACACACCGCCCGU
rnacentral:rRNA from 1 species